CGGUCCAGACUCCUACGGGAGGCAGCAGUAGGGAAUCUUCCACAAUGGACGAAAGUCUGAUGGAGCAACGCCGCGUGAGUGAAGAAGGUUUUCGGAUCGUAAAACUCUGUUGUUGAAGAAGAACACGUUUGAGAGUAACUGUUCAGACGUUGACGGUAUUCAACCAGAAAGCCACGGCUAACUACGUGCCAGCAGCCGCGGUAC
rnacentral:rRNA from 1 species